rnacentral:lncRNA from 1 species
CUUGGCUGGCUGUAGCAGCAGCAGAGGAGCCUGCAAACUGUUGGUGGUUCUUGGGAGAUGGUUUGAAAACUGCUGACCCUGCAGCCCACGCGGGAAUCCUGUUGUAGGGUAGAGGAAUGCGCUUUUCUGUUACAUCUCAUGGCCGUUUUCUUCACUGUCACUGAACUAUUUAUCUGCUCUUUUAAGGAAACUCACCUCAGUUCCAAUCUGCCAGUAUGGCUGGAAUUGCAGUUCCAAUUGUUAUUGUCAUCGUCGUCGUUGUCGUCAUUGCUCUGUGCUACGUGCACCGGCAAAAACACAAAAAAGCCUUGCAGAAGUACACUCCAGGACCUGCUGGUGACGAAGGCACCUGGGCAUGAAAAUACCUUUUACUCUCCGCUUCCCGGAAGGACAAAGAUGCAGCCGUGAGGAUGGGACGGUAAAACGACAAGUAGCUCAGAGAAAGUGAAGGAGCGUGGGAGAGAUUUCUGGGCUAAAGGGAAGAACAAGAGAAAGGUGGAAUGGACACUUACUUACAGGAAUAUGAAAAGGUUCCGGCUUAAUGAAACGGAGGAAGUUUUGGAAGCAUGGGACUUGUAACUUUGGACAGUAUUUUUGGGCAAAUGCAGCUGAAAGCAACAGCAUAAGAUCCCACAAGAGCUAAGAAAAUAGAAGAAUGACAUUAACAAGUUUAAAGACUGAUGCAGAAGCUGGGGGAGAUGGAACAUAGGGAGGAACGGCGCUGCUUCAUAAGCAGCUGUCCCACUCCAGGAGAGUAUCUUUAUUCAGGAGAACAGUGAAGCACUUGCAUAAGCCCCUGCGCAGGUUAUGAGACUUAAAGCUGGCUUUGAUGGGCAGUGUUACCUAGUGGACAGUGCCCAGACUAGAACUCAAGAGAUGAGGGUUCUAGAACUGGCUUUUCCACUAGCCUGCCGGGUGACCAUGGAUGAGUCGGUUUCCCCUUACAUAAAAUGGAGAUAAUGACCUUUGUAAAGUGCUUUGCAAUCGACUGAUGAAAAGCUCUAGACAAGAGGUAGAUAUUAAUUACUAUUAAAGCUAGCCACGUGUUUAAGUGCUUCCCUGAAUCGGAAAGACUAACCUCUCAAGCUGCAAAGUAUAAAUGUCUUUGUAAGAAACCAAACGGAAGGAGAAAAGAUGCUGCGAUUGUCACCACUGAACAAUUGCUUCCCAUUCCCUGGACUUUUGAUAACUCGUUUCGGAGUUGUGUUCUAUUCCUCUUUCUCCUAUGGAGACUUCAUAUUUGUUCUCUCUUUGUUGUUUUUCCUUAAUCUGAAAUAAAGGCUACAUAUAUGCAGAAGUACCUGG